UACGUAGGGUGCGAGCGUUAAUCGGAAUUACUGGGCGUAAAGCGUGCGCAGGCGGUUUUGUAAGCCAGGUGUGAAAUCCCCGGGCUUAACCUGGGAACUGCGCUUGUAACUGGCAAGCUUGAGUGUGGCAGAGGGGGGUGGAAUUCCACGUGUAGCAGUGAAAUGCGUAGAGAUGUGGAGGAACACCGAUGGCGAAGGCAGCCCCCUGGGCUAACACUGACGCUCAUGCACGAAAGCGUGGGGAGCAAACAGG
rnacentral:rRNA from 1 species